UAUCAGUUUAUUUUAUAAUGGGUAUAUGAAAAUGUUAAGAUAAACUUAAAAUAUAAAUAUAAACCUAGAACAAGAAUGAUGAAGAUAGUCAAGACUGUAAACGAGAGUUGAGUGGUUUUGUUCAUUAUAUAUUACAAGAGUUAAUUGAUAAUGGCUUUAAACUCUAAUAAGAAAAGGUAAUCCUUUUCUUAUUAAUAGAUAAACAUUUUAAAGGAGUAACCUUUAAACUGUAACUUAUUUACAGCCAUGUCAUGCUGAGGUGACAUGCUAACAAUGAUUCUCACACUAUUAAUUUAUCCUCCAUUCAUUACUAAACUAAUUACAAAAUAUGCCACACUCA
rnacentral:lncRNA from 1 species